rnacentral:rRNA from 1 species
AUUGAACGCUGGCGGCAUGCCUUACACAUGCAAGUCGAACGGCAGCAUGGAGAGCUUGCUCUCUGAUGGCGAGUGGCGAACGGGUGAGUAAUGCAUCGGAACGUACCGUGUAAUGGGGGAUAACGUAGCGAAAGUUACGCUAAUACCGCAUACGACCUGAGGGUGGAAGCAGGGGAUCGCAAGACCUUGCGUUAUACGAGCGGCCGAUGUCAGAUUAGCUAGUUGGUGAGGUAAAGGCUCACCAAGGCGACGAUCUGUAGCGGGUCUGAGAGGAUGAUCCGCCACACUGGGACUGAGACACGGCCCAGACUCCUACGGGAGGCAGCAGUGGGGAAUUUUGGACAAUGGGGGCAACCCUGAUCCAGCCAUGCCGCGUGAGUGAAGAAGGCCUUCGGGUUGUAAAGCUCUUUCGGCCGGGAAGAAAUCGCACAGGCUAAUACUCUGUGUGGAUGACGGUACCGGCAUAAGAAGCACCGGCUAACUACGUGCCAGCCGCCGCAGUAA